rnacentral:sRNA from 1 species
CAAGGGAACAUAUAUCCAUCCAUUGUGUACUGAAUCGCGCACCGUGUUAACCCUGCGCUGGGGGAAAAUAUAAGCAGGCGCGCAAAGUUGAUCUUUGUAUCUUUGUUGAUCUCUUUCUUCUUACCUGAGGAAAACCCGGAUCGAGACGAUCGAGUCUGACUGGCUUGCUUGGCUGGCUGGCUGUGCUAUUUAGGCGGUCCAUGGUGUUUUGAUGCUAAUAGCACGUUGAUAUAUAUAUAUAUAUAUAUAUAUAUAUAUACAGGGAGGGAUAGGAGUAUGUGCGAGGACUUGGCUUUCUUGGAAAAAUAUCGUUAAAUAAGUGUGGACGGUGGAGGGCGCGUAUAUAUAUCUCUAUAUCGGUAUAUGUAUAUAUACAUCUAUACGUGCACGCACUCACAUCAAAAGAGCGAGAGUGAGACCCUGACCCUGACCCUGACCCUCCGCAUAUACAUACAUCCUUUUCCGGUAAAGAUUCAAAGAGGAGAAUAAAAAGAAAGAACAUGGCACGACUCAGCCGCACCGCGCCUAAGCCCGUGGUGGAUACCAGAGGAGAAGAUUCCGACAUUGACGAUACGCACAGCACCAAUACAAACACCAAGUCUGUGUACAGCUACAACUACGCCGAUGAAGACAAGUCGUGGGCGGAAGCCCGGGCGCGCCGUGGGGGGACCUCUCGCACCCUGAAGGCAGCCACCACAACCACCAGCUCUACAAACGCAAACGCAAACGCAGGCGCAGGCGCAGCAAGAAGGGGAAAACAGCAAAACGCCCUGGCCGACGCCCGAAGCCCAACCAAGACUAAGACCAAACCCACACCCAAGACAGGUACAAGCACAGGCACAGGCAUAGGUUCUAAUACCAAAACCACCCCUGACGUGGAGGAUGUCGUCGCAACGCACACUGAAACCCUUAUUAGCCCAGCACAACUUCCAAGAAGCACCGGUCACAGACAACGUCGACGCCAGCUGGGCCGUGGGCACUCUGAUGUCCUCCUCAUGCCGUUCUCGGCACCGACGCACGCGGAGACGGUGAUUGGUAAGUAUGAUGGUUCGACGCCUGGGCGCGGACUGGGAGAUGUGGAAAUUGCGCCGUUGCCGGAGCAGUUGGAGG